AUAAAAGGGCGAGUUGAUUCACCUUCGUUUCUUGCCCUUCUGCCUUCCACCAUGUGAGGAUGUGGCAUUUCUCCCCUCCAGAGGAUUUAGCAAGCGGGACCUCACCAGAUGUCAAUGGCUUGAUCUUGGACAUUCUCAACCUCCAGAACUACGGGACCAUCUAGUUGCAGGAAGACAAGCUCAGGGCUCCCACUGAUUCUACAUUACGUGAUGUUGUUAACCCUUUGGUAUCAAGGAAGAAACUGAGGCACAGAGAGAUGAGAAGGGGUAUGCUCAAAGUCACACCUCCAGGCCUGGUGCAGUGGCUCACAUCCGUAAUUCCAGCACUUUGGGAGGCCAAGGCGGGCAGAGCACGAGGUCAAGAGAACCAGACCAUCCUGGCCAACAUGGCGAAACCCUGUCU